AUUGAACGCUGGCGGCAGGCUUAACACAUGCAAGUCGCGCGAGCGGCGGACGGGUGAGUAAUGUCUGGGAAACUGCCUGAUGGAGGGGGAUAACUACUGGAAACGGUAGCUAAUACCGCAUACCAUCAGAUGUGCCCAGAUGGGAUUAGCUAGUAGGUGGGGUAAUGGCUCACCUAGGCGACGAUCCCUAGCUGGUCUGAGAGGAUGACCAGCAACACUGGAAAUGGGACACGGGCCAAGCGCGUAAAGGAGGAAGGAGUGGGGAAUAGUGCACAAUGGGCGAAAGCCUGGUGCAGACAUGCGGCAUGUGUGAAGGAGGCCUGCGGGUUGUAAAGCAAUUUCAGAGAGGAGGCGUAACUCGCAUAAGAAGAACCGGCUAACUCCGUGCCAGCAGCCGCGAUAAUAC
rnacentral:rRNA from 1 species